rnacentral:rRNA from 1 species
CCCUUAGAUGUUCUGGGCUGCACGCGCGCUACACUGAAGCUAUCAACACGUUUUCCCUCCCUGAAAAGGGCGGGUAACCUUUUGAAUCAGCUUCGUGGUAGGGAUCGGGGCUUGCAAUUGUUCCCCGUGAACCAGGAAUUCCUAGUAGACGCGAGUCAUAAGCUCGCAUCGAUUAAGUCCCUGCCCUUUGUACACACCGCCCGUCGCUACUACCGAUUGAACGUUUUAGUGAGGCAUUUGGACCGACGCAUCUCAGUUUAACCGCUGGUUUGUGUUGGAAAGACUUCCAAACUUGAGCGUUUAGAGGAAGUAAAAGUCGUAACA